CGAGCGAGAGGUCACACAACCGAGCACAAAGAUCUCUCUUCCUUGCCACUCCUCCAGUCCUCUUCCCCGGCCAGCGCGAGCGAGAGAGAAGUUGGUACCUGCAGGCAGCCAUGGACGGUCACAACAGCCGCCCGCAGUGCCUGAUUCUGGCGCUCGAGGAGGCGUUCAACAAGUGCCCCCACCCCGACGCGACCCAGCUCGCCGAUCUCAGCCGUGACACCGGCAUGGAGCCCCGGCAGAUCAAAUGCUGGUUCCAGAACCGGAGGACGCAGAUCAAGCCCUCGAGGUCUUCCCCCCAGGGAUCUUCAUCUUCAGAUCCUUGAUGCUCUCGUUUCGACAACUUCGCCUUCAUGCUGUGACUGUGACACAUGGAGGAGCGUCAUACAGAUGGAGGCUGAUGUUCGUCUCUACCGUGGUCUUCUUCGGCUUAGUGUCUGUGCGUGUGUUUCGGCUUGUCAGCCAAACGACUACCUUCGAGUUUGUAUCGUGUCAUUGUUGUGUUUGUGUGUGUGUGUGCGCGCGUCGGCUCUUGAGCCUUGGACCCUAGAUGGGUUUGUAUCGUGUCGUGUUGUGUUUGCUUUGCAUUUGAAUUUUAUAAACUCUGUCA